CGAAUGGGAAGCGGCCGGCGCACCCAGAAACCCUUUGUGACUUAUACCUUACUGUUGCCUCGGCGUACGCUGGAUGAAGGGGUCCCUCUGUUCUACAGAGGAGCAGGCGCGCCGGCGGCCAAGUUAACUCUUGUUUUUACACUGAAACUCUGAGAAAAAAACAAAAUGAAUCAAAACUUUCAACAACGGAUCUCUUGGUUCUGGCAUCGAUGAAGAACGCAGCGAAAUGCGAUAAGUAAUGUGAAUUGCAGAAUUCAGUGAAUCAUCGAAUCUUUGAACGCACAUUGCGCCCUCUGGUAUUCCGGAGGGCAUGCCUGUUCGAGCGUCAUUUCAACCCUCAAGCCUGGCUUGGUGUUGGGGCACUGCCUGUAAAAGGGCAGGCCCUCAAAUCUAGUGGCGAGCUCGCCAGGACCCCGAGCGUAGUAGUUAAACCCUCUUUUUGGAAGGCCCUGGCGGUGCCCUGCCGUUAAACCCCCAACUCUUGAAAAUUUGACCUCGGAUCAGGUAGGAAUACCCGCUGAACUUAAGCAUAUCAAUAAGCGGAGGAA
rnacentral:rRNA from 1 species